GGCAGCGCGCCUAAAAAAGCCCAUCAGAGCGAUACCUCAGAGUGGCAAGGGUGGGAGAGUGUAUUUGCUGGGAGGCACCAAGAAUGGAAACGAAAGAGGUGUCCUGGGCUUUCGAGGAGAACCCAGAGCGCGGGGUUAUCCUGGCUCUUUCCAUAGGGGAGUUCCUGCCCCCCUCCUGGCCUCAGUUUUCCCCUCUCUCCAACAGGGCUGACUAAGUCUUCCAAAAGCCGCACCGCUCAAGGUCACCGCAGCGACCAGACCGGGCCGUCACAGGACGUCGUGCAAGAAGUCAUGUCGAUCACGGGCUAAGCCUCAGGCCCUGCCACCUGCCAGAGAUUUCGCUCAGCUGUCCAACUCAAGGGCACUGAGAAACAAAUACUGUUGUCUCACCUGGCUCCAAGACCAAGGGUGUCCUCCUGUCUGGAAGAAGGGCAAAAAGUGCUGGAGGCGACUGGAUGAACUGGAAUGGGUUAAUGCCAAAAAGACGAAAAGCGCCAUCGCAGCCCGGCUUGCCGAAGAGGAAGCAGGUGGACAGCAGAUGGCGCCCUGGAGCCAGACUUGCUCCUGCUGUCUUAACAAUUUAAAAAGCAGAGAGGCAAGAACCUUUCUGGAAGGUCCAGGGAACAGAAUGGCAGGGCAUACUUGAA